CCCUUAGAUGUCCGGGGCCGCACGCGCGCUACACUGAAGGAAUCAGCGUGGCUUUCUCCCUGACCCGAAAGGGUUGGGAAACCCGUUGAAUCUCCUUCGUGAUAGGGAUUGGGGCUUGAAAUUGUUCCCCAUGAACGAGGAAUUCCCAGUAAGCGCGAGUCAUAAGCUCGCGUUGAUUACGUCCCUGCCCUUUGUACACACCGCCCGUCGCUCCUACCGAUUGAAUGGUCCGGUGAAAUCUUCGGAUUGCUGGAUAGGAGGGCAACCACCUAUCUGCGAGAAGUUGCUUGAACCUUAUCAUUUAGAGGAAGGAGAAGUCGUAACA
rnacentral:rRNA from 1 species